AAAUCUAUGGGGCCAAAUUAAAGCGCAAAAUUAAGAACCAAAGGGGGAUAUUGAAAACGGGUAGCAAAACUGAAGGACACAUAGUGCAAAUGACCCACUUUAGCCUUGAAAACAAUGCUGCCGUUUCAUGUUUUUUAUUAAGGCCAAAUUUUUUUUUAUUUUUGCAAUCCCUUUUUAAAAAAAAACAGAGAGUUCUUUUUACUCUCUCCCUUUCCCUUUUCCUUUGGUCACCGAAGGUGCGAUUCACCUCCGCACCGGCCGCCAUAAGCGGUGGUCGGAGGUGCGAUAAUGGGCUCUUUAGCCCCUGUUUAAACACGCCUAAAGGCCCCCCCUUUUAGCCCCGAAAAUGUUGAGAAAAGAAGACUCCUCUCCCCCCUUUUUGGACUCGAGUCCGGCGAAAGAGAAGGAGGCUCCGUUGGCGCGACCACGGAGUAGAUUGGUGACGUGACGUUUGGAAGGCCGGUGGUUGGUGCCCCGAGUGGCGGUGGCUGAAAGCCUGCGGCGACUGCAUCUUGGGGAAGGAUUUGCUGCUGAAAAUCUUAAGCAAGUGGGCUAUUAUUUGGGCUAGGGUUUAGUAAUUGGGUUAUUUGAUGUGUAAUGGGUCUGGUAUUAAUUUUGGGCUACACAUGUUGUAAAUGGACUUGAAAUUUGGACUUUUUAUUUAAUUAUUUGGGUUUUGUUUGUUUUAUCAUUUUAGGGCCACAAUUGACUAUUAAAUCAUUGUAGAAAUACGAGGGAUUUAAGAAUUUUUUGAUCAAGUGACAA